AGUCGAGCGAGCAAUUUUAACGGAAUACCUUCGGGUAGGAAGAUAAAAGCGCGAGCGGCGGAUGGGUGAGUAACACGUGGGCAACCUGCCCUUUAGCUUGGGAUACCACUUGGAAACAGGUGCUAAUACCAAAUAAGAAGCAAGAGCGCAUGCUCAAGCUAUGAAAGGCGGCUUUCGAGCUGUCACUAAAGGAUGGGCCCGCGGUGCAUUAGCUAGUUGGUAAGGUAACGGCUUACCAAGGCAAUGAUGCAUAGCCGAGUUGAGAGACUGAUCGGCCACAUUGGGACUGAGACACGGCCCAAACUCCUACGGGAGGCAGCAGUAGGGAAUCUUCCACAAUGGACGCAAGUCUGAUGGAGCAACGCCGCGUGAGUGAAGAAGGUUUUCGGAUCGUAAAGCUCUGUUGUUGGUGAAGAAGGAUAAGGAUAGUAACUGAUUCUUAUUUGACGGUAAUCAACCAGAAAGUCACGGCUAACUACGUGCCAGCAGCCGCGGUAAUACGUAGGUGGCAAGCGUUGUCCGGAUUUAUUGGGCGUAAAGCGAACGCAGGCGGGAGAACAAGUCAGCUGUGAAAGCCCUCGGCUUAACCGGGGAAGUGCAGCUGAAACUGUUUUUCUUGAGUGCAGAAGAGGAGAGUGGAACUCCAUGUGUAGCGGUGGAAUGCGUAGAUAUAUGGAAGAACACCAGUGGCGAAGGCGGCUCUCUGGUCUGUAACUGACGCUGAGGUUCGAAAGCAUGGGUAGCGAACAGGAUUAGAUACCCUGGUAGUCCAUGCCGUAAACGAUGAGUGCUAAGUGUUGGGGGGUUUCCGCCUCUCAGUGCUGCAGCUAACGCAUUAAGCACUCCGCCUGGGGAGUACGACCGCAAGGUUAAAACUCAAAGGAAUUGAC
rnacentral:rRNA from 1 species